UCCGGUUUGUCACCGGCAGUCUCCUUAGAGUGCCCUUGCGUAGCAACUAAGGACAAGGGUUGCGCUCGUUGCGGGACUUAACCCAACAUCUCACGACACGAGCUGACGACAGCCAUGCAGCACCUGUGUCCAGAUUCCCUUUCGGGCACCCCCACAUCUCUGCGGGGUUUCUGGCAUGUCAAGCGUAGGUAAGGUUUUUCGCGUUGCAUCGAAUUAAUCCACAUCAUCCACCGCUUGUGCGGGUCCCCGUCAAUUCCUUUGAGUUUUAACCUUGCGGCCGUACUCCCCAGGCGGUCUACUUCACGCGUUAGCUGCGUUACCAAGGAAACGAAUCCCCGACAACUAGUAGACAUCGUUUAGGGCGUGGACUAC
rnacentral:misc_RNA from 1 species